UAAGGAAUAUUGGUCAAUGGACGCAAGUCUGAACCAGCCAUGCCGCGUGAAGGAUGAAGGUCCUCUGGAUUGUAAACUUCUUUUAUCUGGGACGAAAACGGGAUUUUUAUCUCAAUUGACGGUACCAGAGGAAUAAGCACCGGCUUACUCCGUGCCAGCAGCCGCGGUAAUACGGAGGGUGCGAGCGUUAUCCGGAUUUACUGGGUUUAAAGGGUGCGUAGGUGGGCUUAUAAGUCAGUGGUGAAAUCCUACAGCUUAACUGUAGAACUGCCUUUUAUACUUUUAUUCUUGAGUUCGGGAGAGAGAGACGGAAUUCCAGGUGUAGUGGUGAAAUACGUAGAUAUCUGGAAGAACACCAGUUGCGAAGGCGGUCUCUUGGUCCGACACUGACGCUGAGGCGCG
rnacentral:rRNA from 1 species